CAGGGUAAAGAAGACACCAUUGUUUAAGGGAAAAGCCAGGUGGUGGGAAACAGCAAGAGAUGGGUGCUGAGGAGAGAGAGAGAGAGGACGGGAGAGCGGGGUAAAGGGGGCAGAUGGAGAGGGGAAUCCGGAAAGGUGUGACAGUACAAAGUCCCUGAGGUUCGAUUUUCCGAAACAGCUAGGGUAUGGAACGCGGAAUGAAAAUUAGCACUGAGAACAAAAGACUCAGCCUGCGGCCACGAAGCUAACUUUGGACGGCGUGCGAAUCGGAGACCUGUAUCUGGAAGACCAAAGACCAGCCGGUUUUCCCCAGGGAAGGCAGAGAAAAGGCUCGCUGCGUUCCCACCCAGGCUCAGGGCUUGGAACCUGCCAAAUGCUGGGGACACUUGACAUGGGAUGGCAGAGCUAGAUAUUGAAAAUUGAAGUCUAGUGUGACUUGCCCUAAGACACAAAGGACCAAUGGCAUCAAGGAAUGAUAUCUUGACUCGUUCACGAAUUGGAUUUAAGGGAUGUAGAGUUGCACAAAGUCACCAGCCUCACUCUUUCUUCCACUCAUUGAAGUCCAAUGGCCAGACAGAAGUCAGGAUGACUGACAAUAGUUCGGGAUGCGGUGGAUGACCUUGGUACCUUCCAUGUCCGAUUAAGCUCUAAUGGAUCCACAGUGCCUGCUUCAGCUGCCGCCAGGAAGGAAGUCUUCAUACGCUUGGAGUAGACAUUCCCCUACCUCACUGAUGGGGUUGAGGCCUAUUGGUUACCCUCAACCUGGUUUAGAGGUACUAGUCCUCCCUGAACACUCCAUACACCCCUAUGAUUUAGUAGACAACUAAGGAGUGCACAAGGCACAAUCAGGGUAAGUGAUUUGUCUUGGGUCACAAAAUGUCAGAUGCAGAAUUUGGGGUUGAUUCUAAAUCCAGCCCCCUAGAGAGCCAUGAUAGGAGGCAGCUGGGUGCCUUUGGAAUUGUCUUGGAUCAUGUAUUGAUUAGGGUAGCUAAGUCUUUCACAAUUGAUGAUCACUACAGC